CCUACGGGAGGCAGCAGUGGGGAAUUUUGGACAAUGGGCGCAAGCCUGAUCCAGCCAUUCCGCGUGAGUGAAGAAGGCCUUCGGGUUGUAAAGCUCUUUCGGCAGGGAAGAAACGGUUGAUGUUAAUAGCAUUGACUACUGACGGUACCUGAAGAAGAAGCACCGGCUAACUACGUGCCAGCAGCCGCGGUAAUACGUAGGGUGCGAGCGUUAAUCGGAAUUACUGGGCGUAAAGGGUGCGCAGGCGGUCUGCCAAGUCUGACGUGAAAGCCCCGGGCUUAACCUGGGAACGGCGUUGGAAACUGGCGGACUAGAGUGCAGCAGAGGGGGGUAGAAUUCCACGUGUAGCAGUGAAAUNCGUAGAUAUGUGGAGGAAUACCGAUGGCGAAGGCAGCCCCCUGGGUUGACACUGACGCUCAGGCACGAAAGCGUGGGUAGCAAACAGGAUUAGAUACCCUGGUAGUCCACGCCCUAAACGAUGUCAACUAGUUGUUGGGGAGGGAGACCUCCUUGGUAACGCAGCUAACGCGUGAAGUUGACCGCCCUGGGGAGUACGGUCGCAAGAUUAAAACUCAAAGGAAUUGACGGGGGCCCGCACAAGCGGUGGAUUAUGUGGAUUAAUUCGAU
rnacentral:rRNA from 1 species